GCUCUUAUGGUGUAAUGGUUAGCACCCUGGACUUUGAAUCCAGCAAUCCGGGUUCAAAUCUCCGGUAGGAGCU
rnacentral:tRNA from 1 species